CAGAGUAGUGUAAAAUUUAAGGAAAGGAAUAUUUCACUUAGAGCUUUUUCAUUGUUGUGUUAAUCUGUACACUAAAUCUUAGAAUGCUGAACCUUUGAGCACUGCUCACUGCCCAUCUGAAAGCCGCCCAUCCUCACCCCUCUGCCCUGUGAACGUCCUUCACCUGUCUUCACCUGAACAUGAAAGUGUUCAGGUGAAUGCUGAUAGUCCAGGUGAAAGCCACCCGUCCUCAUCUGACCUGCGCGACCAACAGUUAACCUUACUGUGGAGGAAGAGGUCGACAGAGGUGGUUGUUGCGGUACUGCCAUCUCAAAUUAAGGGUCGGAGCAUCUAUGUACACCACUCGGAGCUGCGUUCACUACGGCCACACCUGUGGUUGACAGGAGAGGUAGGCAUCUUUAAACCUCUUCCUCUCACUGCUUGUCUGCACUGCUUACACGCUUAGCAAUAGCAAUCAUACUGACGGGCGAACUAGUGAAUAGUUGUUAUAAGUAAUAAAAGGAAAGUUGUUGGUUGCUGUACAGCUGCUACUCUGAGUGAGUGGUGCGCUCAUAAUAGGCCACAUACUGUAUAUAUGCCAGAAUGACGUUAUUCAUUUCAAUGGCCAAAAAAGUUGUUUGCUUUCAUGUGGUGAUGCUGUGUGUUAAUGUUAAUCAAACAGUAUGCUGUGUUCAUCAGAUUAUUCAUGGAUUGAUGCAUCUCAGUGCCUACACACACAAUGUGGUAGACACCAUCUACCUGAUGGACCAUUACACGGCAGGUGUGAUUUUGUUUGGUGACAGAGCCACAGUACGCCGUCAAAGCUUACCUAAGGUAAACUUUGAAAACUAUGAUGCAAUGCUGUCAUUCAUCCAUGUGAAUGGUAAUCAUUGGAACAUGCUGGUUUGUUGCCUUCUUAAUUUUCACUCAGUAAGAUGUUUGUUAUCACAUCGUGAAAUAAAGUAUUAAUUACAGUAUACCCUCUCUUCUUUCACAGUACAUUCAUGCAAAGUCUGGCACAGUCUUCCAAUUGGAUCCAUCACCAGCAUCCUCUGAGCUUGAGGACUCUACACAU